ACCAUUCUACAUUUGUUUUGUCAUGCGAAGCCGGUUCUCACGCUAUGCCUGGGUCAGGCAAUCAGAUAACAUGAACGUGAAAUACAGGAGUGCUAUAGCAACCAGCAUUUGCAGAUAAUAAAUUACAACGUGGCCGAACGAUUGAAACAGAAAAAAAUUAUAGGAACCGAACCGACCCAAGGUUUAUCAAGUUCUCUGGGGCGAGUGUGUGAUAUCCGUAGAGUAAAAUUGACAAUCUGAUGUACAAAUGGGAGACUAGUAUUCUAGGACAUAGACGCAGUUUUCAUAUAAAAGCAGAAGCCAGUACAGAUUGAAACACGCAAAUGGCUGUAUAUAAAAAAUACGUGUACAAAACCAGAAAAAGAAGUAAAAACAUGCAUAA